rnacentral:rRNA from 1 species
UACGGAGGGUGCGAGCGUUGUCCGGAAUCAUUGGGCGUAAAGGGCGCGUAGGUGGCCCGGUCAGUCUUUGGUGAAAGCGCGGGGCUCAACCCUGCGUCGGCCAGGGAUACUGCCGCGGCUCGAGCACUGUAGAGGCAGGCGGAAUUCCGGGUGUAGCGGUGAAAUGCGUAGAUAUCUGGAGGAAUACCGGUGGCGAAGGCGGCAUUCUGGACCAUUACUGACACUGAAUCGCGAAAGCUAGGGGAGCAAACGGG